AUGCAAGGUUUGGCCCUAGCACUACAACAUUCUGACUUACCGGUGGUGGUUCAAACGGACUCGUCUGAAGCUUUGUCUAGCUUGACAAAUGAUGAACUUCUUCGUUCGGCGUAUGGACAGAUCGUCAUGGAGAUCAAAGCACUUCUAGGUACUAGGGAGUUUUUUCCUCAAAAGAUUACUAGACUUCAAAAUAGAGUUGCCGAUCGGUUGGCUAAGUAUAGCCGCACCGAGCAUGCCACGGCUGUUUGGCUUGGCUCGGUUCCACCUUGUAUCGAGGACUUGUGGCCUCUCGACUGUAACUCUAUAACUCUUCAAUAA
rnacentral:rRNA from 1 species